GGCGGACGGGUGUAGUAACACGUGGAUAACCUACCUAUAAGACUGGGAUAACUUCGGGAAACCGGAGCUAAUACCGGAUAAUAUUUUGAACCGCAUGGUUCAAAAGUGAAAGACGGUCUUGCUGUCACUUAUAGAUGGAUCCGCGCUGCAUUAGCUAGUUGGUAAGGUAACGGCUUACCAAGGCAACGAUGCAUAGCCGACCUGAGAGGGUGAUCGGCCACACUGGAACUGAGACACGGUCCAGACUCCUACGGGAGGCAGCAGUAGGGAAUCUUCCGCAAUGGGCGAAAGCCUGACGGAGCAACGCCGCGUGAGUGAUGAAGGUCUUCGGAUCGUAAAACUCUGUUAUUAGGGAAGAACAUAUGUGUAAGUAACUGUGCACAUCUUGACGGUACCUAAUCAGAAAGCCACGGCUAACUACGUGCCAGCAGCCGCGGUAAUACGUAGGUGGCAAGCGUUAUCCGGAAAUUAUUGGGCGUAAAGCGCGCGUAGGCGGUUUUUUAAGUCUGAUGUGAAAGCCCACGGCUCAACCGUGGAGGGUCAUUGGAAACUGGAAAACUUGAGUGCAGAAGAGGAAAGUGGAAUUCCAUGUGUAGCGGUGAAAUGCGCAGAGAUAUGGAGGAACACCAGUGGCGAAGGCGACUUUCUGGUCUGUAACUGACGCUGAUGUGCGAAAGCGUGGGGAUCAAACAGGAUUAGAUACCCUGGUAGUCCACGCCGUAAACGAUGAGUGCUAAGUGUUAGGGGGUUUCCGCCCCUUAGUGCUGCAGCUAACGCAUUAAGCACUCCGCCUGGGGAGUACGACCGCAAGGUUGAAACUCAAAGGAAUUGACGGGGACCCGCACAAGCGGUGGAGCAUGUGGUUUAAUUCGAAGCAACGCGAAGAACCUUACCAAAUCUUGACAUCCUUUGACAACUCUAGAGAUAGAGCCUUCCCCUUCGGGGGACAAAGUGACAGGUGGUGCAUGGUUGUCGUCAGCUCGUGUCGUGAGAUGUUGGGUUAAGUCCCGCAACGAGCGCAACCCUUAAGCUUAGUUGCCAUCAUUAAGUUGGGCACUCUAAGUUGACUGCCGGUGACAAACCGGAGGAAGGUGGGGAUGACGUCAAAUCAUCAUGCCCCUUAUGAUUUGGGCUACACACGUGCUACAAUGGACAAUACAAAGGGCAGCGAAACCGCGAGGUCAAGCAAAUCCCAUAAAGUUGUUCUCAGUUCGGAUUGU
rnacentral:rRNA from 1 species